AUUGCUAUAUUAUUGAUUGCUUGCCAGGAAACAAUGGCCAUAAUUCUCUACCUUUGCUCAGUGUUCACCCAACAAUCUUUCCUUCCUUUUCUUGAAAACUUGAAAGCUUUCCUAUCUAUCAUGGCUGCUCUCAACACUCUAAUCCAGCUUCGAGUCAAGUCGUGUUUGCAGAGUUCUCUUUAACACGACACAAACCUUUGAUUUUGCAACAGAUGUGUUUGUAGAGUUCUCUUUAACAUGGCACAUAACAUUCGAUUUUGCAAUAAAUGUGUUUGCAGAGUUUUCUUUAACAUGCACAUAACUUUAAUUUUGAUUUUGCAACAGAUGUGUCUGCAGAGUUCUCUUUAACAUGACACAUGACCUUCGAUUCUGCAACAGAUUAGCAGCUCAUUUAUCGUCUGUUCCAAGCUAUUGGGUCGAAAAUGGAAUAGUUUAAGAUCAGAUCCUGCUAACAGAACUGGUAAAUGCAUUUACGUUGUGCAGAGAUCGAUACUGCAAUGCCCAAAAGGGAGAAACAUGCAAAAGGAAACCCGUAUUAACCUUUGAAUAAUGGGUAUCUAAAUCAACAGCUGCCCUUUGCUCGGGAGUCUUUGCCUUCAGAAAACGGACAGCAAUUGACAAAGUUCGACGAUCAAGCUGUAGAAGGAGAAAACUACAUGUUACCAUGAUUAAUUAGGAUGUCAAAAACAUUGGAUAGAUUUAUUUUCUCCAAUUUCUUCGAUAUUUGAGAUCUAAUUGCGUAACUGCCA